UACGAAGGGUGCAAGCGUUAUUCGGAGUUACUGGGCGUAAAGAGCGCGUAGGCGGUCUUUUAAGUCAUUUGUUAAAUCUCCCGGCUUAACCGGGAACAUGCAAGUGAAACUGGAAGACUAGAGUGUAAGAGAGAGAAGUGGAAUUCUCGGAGUAGCGGUAAAAUGCGUAGAUCUCGAGAGGAACACCGGAGGCGAAGGCGGCUUCUUGGCUUACAACUGACGCUCAAGUGCGAAAGCGUGGGGAGCAAACAGG
rnacentral:rRNA from 1 species